rnacentral:rRNA from 1 species
AGCGAACGCUGGCGGCAGGCCUAACACAUGCAAGUCGAACGCGUGUAGCAAUACACGAGUGGCAGACGGGUGAGUAACACGUGGGAACGUACCUUUCGGUUCGGAAUAACUCAGGGAAACUUGUGCUAAUACCGGAUACGCCUUUACGGGGAAAGAUUCAUCGCCGAAAGAUCGGCCCGCGUCUGAUUAGCUUGUUGGUGAGGUAACGGCUCACCAAGGCGACGAUCAGUAGCGGUCUGAGAGGAUGAUCAGCCACAUUGGGACUGAGACACGGCCCAAACUCCUACGGGAGGCAGCAGUGGGGAAGUAUUGGACAAUGGGCGGAAAGCCUGAUCCAGCCAUGCCGCGUGAGUGAUGAAGG